rfam:Desulfohalobium retbaense DSM 5692, complete genome.
GGGAGCGGUAUGAGCCGAGAGGCUCACGUACCGUUCUGCGAGAGGCUGACGGUGAGAUUCCGUUGGUCUACUCACC